rnacentral:rRNA from 1 species
GACGAACGCUGGCGGCGUGCUUAGCACAUGCAAGUCGAACGGAAAGGCCCUGCUUUUGUGGGGUGCUCGAGUGGCGAACGGGUGAGUAACACGUGAGUAACCUGCCCUUGACUUUGGGAUAACUUCAGGAAACUGGGGCUAAUACCGGAUAGGAGCUCCUGCUGCAUGGUGGGGGUUGGAAAGUUUCGGCGGUUGGGGAUGGACUCGCGGCUUAUCAGCUUGUUGGUGGGGUAGUGGCUUACCAAGGCUUUGAUGGGUAGCCGGCCUGAGAGGGUGACCGGCCACAUUGGGACUGAGAUACGGCCCAGACUCCUACGGGAGGCAGCAGUGGGGAAUAUUGCACAAUGGGCGGAAGCCUGAUGCAGCAACGCCGCGUGCGGGAUGACGGCCUUCGGGUUGUAAACCGCUUUCGCCUGUGACGAAGCGUGAGUGACGGUAAUGGGUAAAGAAGCACCGGCUAACUACGUG